CUACGGAGGGUGCAAGCGUUAUUCGGAAUCACUGGGCGUAAAGGACGCGUAGGCGGGUUGGCAAGUCAGAUGUGAAAUCCUACAGCUUAACUGUAGAACUGCAUUUGAAACUGCUAACCUAGAGUAUGGGAGGGGGAGAUGGAAUUAGUGGUGUAGGGGUAAAAUCCGUAGAUAUCACUAGGAAUACCGAAAGCGAAGGCGAUUUCCUGGAACAUAACUGACGCUAAGGCGUGAAAGCGUGGGGAGCAAACAGGAUUAGAAACCCUAGUAGUCC
rnacentral:rRNA from 1 species